AAAGAAAAAAAAUUCCCCAUGUCCCCUAGGGGGCUCCGUAGGGUUCUUUGUUUUCUUUGUGGACUUUUUUUUCUUUUUUUCUUUUUUCUUUCCUCUGUUGCUACUCACCGUUCAUCCACCAGAUGGCGCCAAACGUUCCUCUUGCCGGAGAGGUGUGCCGUCAUCGUGCACACCAGAGUCCAAUCAUCUCAUCAAUCAAGAGGAGCCGACCAGUGGCACAACAGGUGGCUCUAGUGCAACGCAUGGGGGCGCUGCAGUAGAGGGGGCGCAAAAACGAUGUAGUUUGAGCAGCGGCCCUUCCAGAACCCGCUGAGGCGCCUUUUUUUUUUUUCUUUUAAAUUUGUCGUAACGCCUCGACAACAAGGAGCUAAAGAUGGGGCAGAAAAAACUCCGGGGCACAAAACAGAAAACGGAAGAGGGGGAAGGAUAAAGAUGUUGGAGAGACGAAGAAAAUCUUUUCAAAGUGGUUGAAAGACAGAAGGUAAGUAAUGUCAGUGUAAGUGUCACUAAAAUAAUUUAUUUCUUGAAAAAUUUUAUGUUUAUUUCUAAAAAUUAGAAUAACGUAUUCUAAGUUGGUUCAUGUUUUAAGAUUUGUGUUAAAUGAUUGUAUUUUAUUACGACUCAAACUAUUUUGUUGGAAGUUAUCGCGAGAUUUGUGUUCAUGCGUGAGGCUGCGAGAUUUGAAUAAACAUAGAAGAAGCAGAAGCCUGGAACUGAGCUACACGCAGCAGCCUCGUGUCUCCGGUAGCAGUCAAGAGUGAACAACGACGAAUUAUUCGGUUAAAGACCUCCGAAGUGGCAGGCGGCCACGAGUUUUCACGGCGUUUAAUAAAGAGCCCGUCAAAAGGAAGCCGUGCCAGUGUUGUCGCUUUGGAGUUACA